UAUUUUCUAAGAUCAAAGCGAAGUCAACUUCGCCGACUUUUUCAAAGAUCAAAAAGUCGAUAUCGCUAAGAACUAACGCUUGUCAAAACAGAGCGACUCCGCCUCCCGCCUGUCAGCUCGAUUGACAAACAGCCAAUCGUGUUAAACCUAGUAAAUAUGCUCCAUUGACUUCAGCCAAUGAGAACGCUUGUUUUAUUCAAUCGAGGCACGUGUUUGCACCAUUGACUUUGUGUACAUGUGCUACGUCAUCGAUGUAAUAAAAUUGUAAGGGAUUAAUAUUUACACUUGCCGAUGUUUGUAAAUGUCAAUUUGUGCCAAUUAGGAUUUAUACUUUAUGACAAUAGCGGUUUAAAUGAUGUGCACUGAUGACAAAUGAACUUAAUUGGGUGUGAUUAUCGCGAAGUUAGCGAGAAGGGCAAGUGCGAAUCACAGUUCCAGUUGGUACAACGAAGAUGCAGAUAAAAAUUGGCACUGCGAAGUUUGUAGAGGUGCUAAGUUGGACAACGCCUACGCCCGUGGACAUGACCAACCAGCAAAAACAACCAAUCAUCAGAGACAUGGCUUGUCAAAUCAGCACAAGGCCGCCUUGGAAAAGACAGUUCUGAGUUCCCAGGAACCCAUGAAGAAAAUUGUACUGGCCAAACUGUCCAAGGAUGACAAGCUUGGGGUCAAGCUCCUUAAGACUGCCUACCACCUGGCCAAGCCGGAGCUCCCCAAGGUGGAAUUUCAGUACCAUCUCCAGCUUGCCGGGGCCAUAGCUCCUGUGCUGAUCUCGGCUGACCUUGAGACCUACAUUGUGUAGACUGAUCAAGUGUAUAGUGCUUCUUGUUUUGAGAACUAGGAUGUGAUGAUAUAUUGACUACUUUUUUGUUUUUUACAAUUGUCAUGUUGUUUGAUUUCAGCUAGUUUUGUUUGUAUUUAUUAGCUUAUUUUAUUUAUUUAUCAUGUAUUUAAAUUCAGAUAUAUAUUUAUGUGUGCAUGAUAGGUUUGCAUGUAAUAAAAUGUUUGAAACUUGA